rnacentral:rRNA from 1 species
UACGUAGGGUGCGAGCGUUAAUCGGAAUUACUGGGCGUAAAGCGUGCGCAGGCGGUUGGUUAAGUCUGAUGUGAAAGCCCCGGGCUCAACCUGGGAAUGGCAUUGGAAACUGGCUAGCUGGAGUGUGGCAGAGGGGGGUGGAAUUCCGCGUGUAGCAGUGAAAUGCGUAGAGAUGCGGAGGAACACCAGUGGCGAAGGCGGCUCACUGGUCCGGUACUGACGCUGAGGUGCGAAAGCGUGGGGAGCAAACAGG